rnacentral:rRNA from 1 species
GACAGAGGUGCCGAGCGUUAGGCGGAAUCACUGGGCUUAAAGCGUGUGUAGGCGGAUCUGUAAGUACCUUGUGAAAUCCCACGGCUCAACCGUGGAACUGCUUGGUAUACUGCGGGUCUUGAGCCACCUAGGGGCAAGUGGAACAAACGGUGGAGCGGUGAAAUGCGUAGAUAUCGGAAGGAACGCCGGUGGCGAAAGCGGCGUGCUGGACCCUUUCUGACGCUGAGCAGCGAAA